GUCCCUGUAGCUAGUGGAUGGCGCGUUAGGCAUCUAAUCUAAAGGUCAUGGGCUCGAAUCCCACCUGGGAUU